GUAGGGAAUAUUGGACAAUGGGGGCAACCCUGAUCCAGCGACGCCGCGUGAGUGAUGAAGGCCUUCGGGUUGUAAAGCUCUUUCAGUGGGGACGAUAAUGACGGUACCCACAGAAGAAGCCCCGGCUAACUUCGUGCCAGCAGCCGCGGUAAUACGAAGGGGGCUAGCGUUGUUCGGAAUCACUGGGCGUAAAGCGCACGUAGGCGGACGUUUAAGUCAGAGGUGAAAGCCUGGAGCUCAACUUCAGAACUGCCUUUGAUACUGAACGUCUCGAGUCCGGGAGAGGUGAGUGGAACUGCUAGUGUAGAGGUGAAAUUCGUAGAUAUUAGCAAGAACACCAGUGGCGAAGGCGGCUCACUGGCCCGGUACUGACGCUGAGGUGCGAAAGCGUGGGGAGCAAACAGGAUUAGAAACCCCAGUAGUCC
rnacentral:rRNA from 1 species